UGGUGUUGUUUGCAUAGAGUUCUCGGUUUCUGGCUUGUUAAAUUGAGAGGCACCCCAGCUUCUUGGAGGGAUUGGAGUGUUGAGUGGCUCCUCAGGGAGGUGCAGGAGAACAGCACUGGGUGAGGGGUCAGGAGAUGAGGGUCUGGGUCCGUCUUCAAAUGCAGAAAUUGAGAGCAGAGUUUUCAAAGGCCUCUUCCAGCGCUGACGUUUUCUGACUGUGAAAGGGUUGGGUGUGAUAAAGAAGAAAAGUUGAAGACUUAAAAGGAGGAAGUGUGAGGGUCUUCAGCCUCCUGUGUGAGGGAGAACGAUUUAGAUUGCUGGAUAUCACAGGCAAACAAUGUGCAAUGGCUGUGGGUAACAUUUGCAGAACUUCAUCUAAAUACUUCCAGAAUGAAAAACUGAUGCCAGCUUCUAACCCCCAAGCUCCAUUACACAGACCCAAGCCUAAGGACCUUUUGUAUACCACUUCUAUGGGAAGGCGUCACAGAGUGGAGAUGUUAGACCUAAAGGUUCCAUAUUAGCAACAGGAUCAUCUUUUUGCCUUGGGUCCCAUACCUUCACAGUUCCUGCCAUGCAUAAAACUUCUUUCAAGUCCCCAAUGAGAACUGUCAUCAUUCAACUUGAAAUUCUAAUCCAAGCUCACUAUACGUAGUGCUCAAAGACGAUCUAUCCAAGACCCCCACAGAUGAAUCACCAGAUAUGAAAGUUUCAGCACUUCAUGUGAUAUUCUUUAAGAUCCUCAGCAGAAAUGAGAACAUAAUGAAGAUAUUAUCUUUCCAGAUGGUUAUGGGAACAAAAAUGUUACGUGUCUCUUAUAGUUUUCCCUGCAGAACCCUAUAAACUAAAGAUGUUUAUGUCCCACUUUCUCUGGGGCCUUUUCAAUGCAGAGAGAUUUAUAAACCUGUGUGUAUAAAGGCACUACUAUUGGUAUGGAUCAGCCAAUCUUUUAAGGUUUCUUUACUUUAAAAGGCUACUGCUCCAAGUAUCAUAUAUAAUCACAUUAGUAAAACAAUCCCAUACAAAUAUAUUAUUUAAGGUAUGGGGCUUAUGGAAAUCAGGUGAAGAAUGACUAUGUAGCCAAAAAGGUCCUUGGAAAGGAUCUAAUACAAUACUCUCCUGUCAUAAAAGGAGACCAAAGCAUAGGGCUUUACACAUUUGCCCACCUCAUACAACAUUCAACAUUUAAUGGUUGCUACUACAUGCAAGUCACUGAACUAGGCAAAAAAGGAUACAAAGAUGAAUGAGAUUGGCCAGUCCCUCAAAAAGCUAACAACUCAAAUAUCAGUUCCCAUCUGGUUGCUCCAAAAUAUACAUAUUCAUUAUACUACUCCUACACCUCCCUGGGUCUUCUAUUCACCUUCUUUUACUUCCUGAUGUUUCUGGUUUCUCCAUGGCCCCUCCCGCCACCAACUCUACCUGCCCAGGUCACUAAAGUCCCUCCUACAGUCUAACUGCUUUUCCUGCUGCCUUGGCUCCUGUGAUCUCUGGAAUCUGGAAUUAGAUGAGGCCACUGAUGUCUGUCCCACACCACACUCUUGCCAUAUAACACUUCCCAUUGACUGUCAGCCUCAAUGGGGCAAAACUAUCCCUCUUGGUCUCUAACAAUUUUUACAUUUUUAAAUUCUUAAUGUUUAUAAAAGUAAUACCUGCUCCCUAUAAAAAUUCAAACAAAACAAAAGGAUGGAAGGAAAAAGUGAGUCCCUUUAACACUUUCCAGAAGUAAUCCCCAUCCUUCUAGAUCUUCUACGCAUUUACAAACACGCGUUUGUUUCAAUACAAGGCAAAUCACAGUACACUGUCGUUUGAUUUGUUUCACUUAACAAUACAUCUAGAUAAACUUUAUUCCUUUUGCAGGGUUCUCCAGUUUCCAGGACAUCUCCCCUUGUAACUCUGCAGUUUUCAUCCCUCCCAGGUUGACCUGUUUCAAAUCAUUUUAAAAAUAAUUUCCCUGCCUCUUUCAGUGUUUAUCCAGGCAUUUCCAUAUAGGUAUACAUACCAAUUUCCAUGAAUAAAAUAAAAGUCACUUAACACAAACUA